rnacentral:misc_RNA from 1 species
AGGGGAAAUAAGAGGCAUUAUGGAUCCAAGAUUAGGGGGAUAUUAUGACAUAAACUGUGUGUGGAAAGCUGUGGAGAUAGCAAUGGCAUGUGUAUCAUCUAGCUCCAUUCAAAGGCCAACCAUGAGUGAAGUAGUAGUGGAAUUAAAGGAAUGCUUGGACAUUGAGAUGGCCGGUAGAAAUAAUUCCAUAGUGAAAAAUGAUAGUGAGAAUACUGCAAGUUCUAUUGAAAUGAUGAUUACGGACAUUGAAACUUCUUUAGGUCCCCAAGCAAGGUAGUAAUUGUUGUGAAUUGUGGGUUUCUUGGUUACUGCAAUUUCUUGGCUUUGGUUGAAGUCAUUGCCUCAUAGUUCAUUUAGAAAAGAAUAUUUCAAUUUGCUGCAAAUGGAGUUAUAAUUUUAGUGAUUGU